rnacentral:rRNA from 1 species
ACGCACGCUGGCGGCAUGCCUAACACAUGCAAGUCGAACGAGACCUUCGGGUCUAGUGGCGCACGGGUGCGUAACGCGUGGGAAUCUGCCCUUGGGUUCGGAAUAACUCGCCGAAAGGCGUGCUAAUACCGGAUGAUGACGUAAGUCCAAAGAUUUAUCGCCCAAGGAUGAGCCCGCGUUGGAUUAGCUAGUUGGUGAGGUAAAGGCUCACCAAGGCGACGAUCCAUAGCUGGCCUGAGAGGAUGAUCAGCCACACUGGGACUGAGACACGGCCCAGACUCCUACGGGAGGCAGCAGUGGGGAAUAUUGGACAAUGGGCGAAAGCCUGAUCCAGCAAUGCCGCGUGAGUGAUGAAGGCCUUAGGGUUGUAAAGCUCUUUUACCCGGGAUGAUAAUGACCGUACCGGGAGAAUAAGCUCCGGCUAACUCCGUG